UACGGGGGGGGGCAAGCGUUGUUCGGAAUUACUGGGCGGAAAGGGCUCGUAGGCGGCCAACUAAGUCAUACGUGAAAUCCCUCGGCUUAACCGGGGAACUGCGUCUGAUACUGGAUGGCUUGAGUUCGGGAGAGGGAUGCGGAAUUCCAGGUGUAGCGGUGAAAUGCGUAGAUAUCGGGAGGAACACCUGCGGCGAAAGCGGCUCACUGGACCACAACUGACGCGGAGGCGCGAAAGCUAGGGGAGCAAACAGG
rnacentral:rRNA from 1 species